rnacentral:misc_RNA from 1 species
UCUCCGUUGGGGAACCAGCGGAGGGAUCAUUACCGAGUUUACAACUCCCAAACCCCAUGUGAACCUUACCAAACGUUGCUUCGGCGGGAUGCCCCGGGCGCGGGCCGCAAGGCCUCAGCCCCGGAACCAGGCGCCCGCCGGAGGCCCAAACCAAACUCUUGUUUUUGUAGAAUCUUCUGAGUGGCCUUUUAGGCAAAAAAUGAAUCAAAACUUUCAACAACGGAUCUCUUGGUUCUG